GAUGAACGCUGGCGGCGUGCCUAAUACAUGCAAGUCGAGCGAACAGAUGAGGAGCUUGCUCCUCUGACGUUAGCGGCGGACGGGUGAGUAACACGUGGAUAACCUACCUAUAAGACUGGGAUAACUUCGGGAAACCGGAGCUAAUACCGGAUAAUAUAUUGAACCGCAUGGUUCAAUAGUGAAAGACGGUUUUGCUGUCACUUAUAGAUGGAUCCGCGCCGCAUUAGCUAGUUGGUAAGGUAACGGCUUACCAAGGCAACGAUGCGUAGCCGACCUGAGAGGGUGAUCGGCCACACUGGAACUGAGGCACGGUCCAGACUCCUACGGGAGGCAGCAGUAGGGAAUCUUCCGCAAAGGGCGAAAGCCUGACGGAGCAACGCCGCGUGAGUGAUGAAGGUCUUCGGAUCGUAAAACUCUGUUAUUAGGGAAGAACAAAUGUGUAAGUAACUAUGCACGUCUUGACGGUACCUAAUCAGAAAGCCACGGCUAACUACGUG
rnacentral:rRNA from 1 species